CCGAGCGCGGCUCCGCUCGUCUCCUCUGCGGCUCCCGCCGGGCCGAGGUGCCCGGCCGGCCCCGGCGCGGCAGGGCAUGGUGGCGCCCGGGCUGGGGCCGUGGCUCCUGGCCUUGUCCUUGGCCGCGGGGCCGGCAGGUGCACCCACAGCAAGGAUACUGCACAUGCCUGCAAGAAGAGGGUCACGCAGCGGACACAGGUGCGCGACCACUGACGACCACCAGAGAUCCCUUGAGGACCACCAACUCAAAUCACUGAGCAUGCGUGACGGGGAGGAGAAUAUGGAAAUGGAUUUUAAGAAAUGAUUAUCAUAAGACUGCCUUUUCUGAGAAAAAUGAUGAAUAUGUAUAUUUUGAUUCUAUAUAACCUGUGUGUUGGUAAUCACCUGGCAUGCAUGUUGGGUAGAGCUAUCCCCCGUGCAUCCAGCGCUGCAAUAAAGAAUGCCUGCCUUUUAACACUACAUUGGUGUUACGAGGUUUAUUCCCGGGUUUCGGUGACAGUUUUUGGCGACCCAGAUGGGACACUGCUUUUGAACCUCGACGGAUCCAUGGGAUUGCAGGACCUCCAGCCGGCACCGGGGAGUUCUCGGGGAGAACCUCCGAUCCCCGGACCGAGGAGCUCUGAGCAAGACCCCUGGGAGAGGUAAAGGCAUUCUUAUUUGAUCUGAAUAUUUGCACGAGUUGAAGGCCUUAUUCAAGGAGCCCCGUGGCUCUCACCACCGCGACGGGACAGGCCCGCACCGGGACAGGCCCACACCAGGAGCACGGGAGGCCUGCUUAUAAGGCGUGGUGAAAGCUGCGCACAGUUGGGCUAGGGAGACGUCUCAGGGAAAAGUCUCUGCUAGGCGAAAGCCUGUGGAGCAGGGCCCACCGG